AUACGGAGGGUGCAAGCGUUAUUCGGAAUCACUGGGCGUAAAGGACGCGUAGGCGGGUUGGCAAGUCAGACGUGAAAUCCUACAGCUUAACUGUAGAACUGCAUUUGAAACUGCUAACCUAGAGUAUGGGAGGGGGAGAUGGAAUUAGUGGUGUAGGGGUAAAAUCCGUAGAUAUCACUAGGAAUACCGAAAGCGAAGGCGAUCUCCUGGAACAUAACUGACGCUAAGGCGUGAAAGCGUGGGGAGCAAACAGGAUUAGAAACCCUAGUAGUCC
rnacentral:rRNA from 1 species